rnacentral:rRNA from 1 species
UUGCUUUUUUGAUGACGACCGGCGCACGGGUGCGUAACGCGUAUGCAAUCUACCUUUUGCUACUGGAUAGCCCAGAGAAAUUUGGAUUAACACAGUAUAGUAUCAUAUUACUGCAUGGUAUUUAUGAUUAAAGGCUACGGCAGAAGAUGAGCAUGCGUCCUAUUAGCUAGUUGGUGUGGUAACGGCAUACCAAGGCAACGAUAGGUAGGGGCCCUGAGAGGGGGAUCCCCCACACUGGUACUGAGACACGGACCAGACUCCUACGGGAGGCAGCAGUGAGGAAUAUUGGACAAUGGAGGCAACUCUGAUCCAGCCAUGCCGCGUGCAGGAUGACUGCCCUAUGGGUUGUAAACUGCUUUUAUACAGGAAGAAACCGCUCUACGUGUAGAGCUCUGACGGUACUG